CAUGAACCCUUUUGCUUAUAUGUAUUUAUAUGUAGGUUUUAUGUAUUUUGUGUCCCUUUUAUGUUUGUAUGGUAAAUUAUGCGUUUUCUUUUUUGAAGGGGCCAAUUUUUAUCCAUAUUGGUUAUUUUCAUAAAAGAUAAAAAAUUUCCAGUUGGAAAGAAAUGAAUUAACAAGUUUUAGGUUGUCUAAAAACUAGAUUUUUUAUAAAAUUUACUUUUUUCUGUUUUAAGAAUUUAUCUUGGAGGACAUUCAUGGAAAUUAAUGAGUCUAGUCUUGAAUUUUGUGCCCGUUGGUGUGAGGUUGUGCAGUUAUCUUGAGAUUGGAGGUGAUAUUUACAGUAGAAUGUUGCUAAAAGAAAUGAAAUGUGGUAAGGCUUUAAAAGGACAGAAAUUGGAGUUUAUUUGGAAUGCUACAUCAAAUGUAAGGCCUUUGUUGUUAUAUUCGAAUGUUGUUGACUAAUAAUCAUUUUCAUAGUCAAGAUAAUCUAAUAAUCUGUUUACUAGCUACUGUUAUGAUUAAUUCGUACUUUGCAUGAAAGGUAAAGCUUCCCUAUCACUUUGUUUCUCAAACUCAUCAUUAGCCAGAAUCGAAGAAACAAUGGAAGUUGCAGAUGCCAAAUUACAUCGUCAUUUUUUCACUUUCAGCCUGUUCUCUUUCCUGUCUAAGGCUUUUCUCUUCUCUUUCUGCUGCAAACUUCAGUCACUUGAUGGCCAUGGAUGGGAAAUCAGAGCUUCUAAUGCUCUCUUAUGAGGCUUCUAAGAUUAGACUACUGCAUAGUUUGUGUGUUGAACGGUGUG
rnacentral:lncRNA from 1 species